AUGUCUGCAGAUAAACUCGACAGACACGAAGAGAAAACUCCAUUGACAGGAACCGCAUCCAAUCUCAAAACUAAUGGGGGAGACGAAUCGGAGCUGCGAAAAAGGAUUCCAGCAGCUACAAAGUGUUUCUUCUUCACCUAUGCAUUCCAAAUUAAUCAAUCAAAUUAAUCGGAGUUGUUCAUCGAACCUGUUCAACCACGUCACCACCAUUGACUUUCAAGUAUUGUGGUUACGGUAAAUUAGAUUCCUUUUCUCAGAUCUAAAUUUCAACGGGUUGAAUCCCUAAAGAAGAUUGUUACCACCAUUGACAUUUAAAUCCUCGGAAAAAAAUAUCUAAUUUUAAAAAUUUUGAGGUUGGACUGAGCUGCUUCAAGCUAUUAGGAUUCAUUUGCUCAUGCUAGUCAAAGUACCAAGCUGAAAUCUUCAAGUGGAAAUUAGAGGUACGACUAAAACUCUGCAAAUCUAUACUAACACCCUAGUCUUUAUACUCUUUUCCUUAAUGGAUUGAACCCACAUAGGUUAAUACCACCAUGUUAAGUGAAGAGAGUCAAAACUAGAGUGAAUUAGUAAGAUCUGUGACAUAAGUGUAUAAAUACUAAACGAAAUAUUAAAACAUCUCCUACUAUUGACUUGUGAGUCUUGGUUUCAUACCAUAUGUAACACGUCAAAG
rnacentral:lncRNA from 1 species